UGCAAAACCUGAAAUUUCUGUAGCUGUUAAGACAAUGCUUGGAACCGCCCAGUAAAUAGUUCCCCUGACUGCUUGGUUGUUUAAUAACUGAAGGGCUCUGUGUGGUCGCACGUAGGCAUCGCAGGGCCUAAACCAAUCAGUUUGAAUGUGUACCCCGCUUUAGAACUGACCUAUCACCCCCGCCUGACCUGUUCCCGCCAAUGAAUGAACUAAUCAUGUUUAGGAAUUGUUGCUUGAUUUUCCCACGGUGUAUAAUGAUUUGUUAAAGGAGACUGUGAUGUAUGUAAAAUCCCCGCCCUCCCAAAAAAAAGUGUACUUAAGCAGUGCUCAGCCCCUGCUUGGGGCUCUGGGCUGCUUUCCCUUCCUGGGUGAGCCUGGAGCCUCAGCGUGCUGAAUCGGAUCCUCAAUAAAUCC
rnacentral:lncRNA from 1 species